UACGGGGGGGGCAAGCGUUGUUCGGAAUUACUGGGCGUAAAGGGCUCGUAGGCGGCCAACUAAGUCAUACGUGAAAUCCCUCGGCUUAACCGGGGAACUGCGUCUGAUACUGGAUGGCUUGAGAUUGGGAGAGGGAUGCGGAAUUCCAGGUGUAGCGGUGAAAUGCGUAGAUAUCUGGAGGAACACCGGUGGCGAAGGCGGCAUCCUGGACCAAUACUGACGCUGAGGAGCGAAAGCUAGGGGAGCAAACGGG
rnacentral:rRNA from 1 species